rnacentral:rRNA from 1 species
AAAGACCUUAUGCUUUUGGAGCGGCCGAUGUCUGAUUAGCUAGUUGGUAAGGUAAUGGCUUACCUAGGCGACGAUCAGUAGUUGGUCUGAGAGGACGGCCAGCCACACUGGGACUGAGACACGGCCCAGACUCCUACGGGAGGCAGCAGUGGGGAAUUUUGGACGAUGGGCGCAAGCCUGAUCCAGCAAUGCCGCGUGAGUGAAGAAGGCCUUCGGGUUGUAAAGCUCUCUCAGUUGAAAAGAAAAGGUUGUGACUAAUAAUCAUGACUCAUGACGGUAUCAACAGAAGAAGCACCGGCUAACUACGUGCCAGCAGCCGCGGUAAUACGUAGGGUGCAAGCGUUAAUCGGAAUUACUGGGCGUAAAGGGUGCGCAGGCGGUUCUGUAAGUCGGAUGUGAAAUCCCCGGGCUUAACCUGGGAACU